rnacentral:rRNA from 1 species
AGAGUUUGAUCCUGGCUCAGGAUGAACGCUAGCUACAGGCUUAACACAUGCAAGUCGAGGGGAAACGAUAUUGGAAGCUUGCUUCCGAUAGGCGUCGACCGGCGCACGGGUGAGUAACGCGUAUCCAACCUGCCCACCACUUGGGGAUAACCUUGCGAAAGUAAGACUAAUACCCAAUGAUAUCUCUAGAAGACAUCUGAAAGAGAUUAAAGAUUUAUCGGUGAUGGAUGGGGAUGCGUCUGAUUAGCUUGUUGGCGGGGUAACGGCCCACCAAGGCAACGAUCAGUAGGGGUUCUGAGAGGAAGGUCCCCCACAUUGGAACUGAGACACGGUCCAAACUCCUACGGGAGGCAGCAGUGAGGAAUAUUGGUCAAUGGGCGAGAGCCUGAACCAGCCAAGUAGCGUGCAGGAUGACGGCCCUAUGGGUUGUAAACUGCUUUUAUAAGGGAAUAAAGUUAGUCUCGUGAGACUUUUUGCAUGUACCUUAUGAAUAAGGACCGGCUAAUUCCGUGCCAGCAGCCGCGGUAAUACGGAAGGUCCGGGCGUUAUCCGGAUUUAUUGGGUUUAAAGGGAGCGUAGGCCGGAGAUUAAGCGUGUUGUGAAAUGUAGAUGCUCAACAUCUGCACUGCAGCGCGAACUGGUUUCCUUGAGUACGCACAAAGUGGGCGGAAUUCGUGGUGUAGCGGUGAAAUGCUUAGAUAUCACGAAGAACUCCGAUUGCGAAGGCAGCUCACUGGAGCGCAACUGACGCUGAAGCUCGAAAGUGCGGGUAUCGAACAGGAUUAGAUACCCUGGUAGUCCGCACGGUAAACGAUGGAUGCCCGCUGUUGGUCUGAAUAGGUCAGCGGCCAAGCGAAAGCAUUAAGCAUCCCACCUGGGGAGUACGCCGGCAACGGUGAAACUCAAAGGAAUUGACGGGGGCCCG